UGUACAGGGAUGGGAAUCAAAUUCACAGUGUUCUGCUUAUUGGGCAGAUGCCAUGUCCAAUAGGCUACCCUGGAC